UACCAGCACCCCGAGUGGUCGGGACGUUUAUUGGGCCUAAAGCAUCCGUAGCCGGUUCUACAAGUCUUCCGUUAAAUCCAACUGCUUAACUGUCGAAGUGCCCUUGAUACUGAUGAGCUCGAGGGAGAUAGGGGUGUGUGGAACUUCCGGUGGAGCGGUGAAAUGCGUUGAUAUCGGAAGGAACGCCGGUGGCGAAAGCGACACACUGGAUCUCUUCUGACGCUGAGGCGCGAAAGCCAGGGGAGCAAACGGG
rnacentral:rRNA from 1 species